GAUGAACGCUGGCGGCGUGCCUAAUACAUGCAAGUCGAGCGAACAGACGAGGAGCUUGCUCCUCUGACGUUAGCGGCGGACGGGUGAGUAACACGUGGAUAACCUACCUAUAAGACUGGGAUAACUUCGGGAAACCGGAGCUAAUACCGGAUAAUAUAUUGAACCGCAUGGUUCAAUAGUGAAAGACGGUUUUGCUGUCACUUAUAGAUGGAUCCGCGCCGCAUUAGCUAGUUGGUAAGGUAACGGCUUACCAAGGCGACGAUGCGUAGCCGACCUGAGAGGGUGAUCGGCCACACUGGAACUGAGACACGGUCCAGACUCCUACGGGAGGCAGCAGUAGGGAAUCUUCCGCAAAGGGCGAAAGCCUGACGGAGCAACGCCGCGUGAGUGAUGAAGGUCUUCGGAUCGUAAAACUCUGUUAUUAGGGAAGAACAAAUGUGUAAGUAACUAUGCACGUCUUGACGGUACCUAAUCAGAAAGCCACGGCUAGCUACGUG
rnacentral:rRNA from 1 species